rnacentral:lncRNA from 1 species
AUUUCAACGGUCGGGUUCAGAUCGAAUUUUUAAAAAUUCGAAUCCAAAUUCAUAAAUCAAAUUAAAAUCCGUACUCGUACUCAAACUCGGCGGAUUUUAAAAAUCCAUACCCAUUCUCGUAUCCGACCAAAAAUCUGAAAUCCGAAUCCGAACCCGGACUCGACGGGUUCUAAAAAUCCAUACCGUUGAACGAAGAUCUAAGAAAUAAAAAUUAUUAAAUAUUUUAUAUAUUAUAUAAAUAAAUAAAAAUAAAGUAUGUAUAUAUAUAAUUUAUUCGGGUCUGGGUUCGGGUCGGGUAAAUGCAAAAUCCAUACUCGUAUCCAUAUCCGUCGGGUUUUUAUUUUUUAUACUCAUAACCGAAUCCAUAUCCGUUUAGCUCGAAUAAAUCCGUCCCGUUCGGAUUUGGGUUCGGAUAAUAUUUCGGGUAUUCAUACCCAUUGACAUCCCUAUUCGUAUUAGCGCAAAUAAAAAAUAUUUUAUUAAUAAUUAAUAUUAAUAAAAAUAAAAAUAAAAAUAAAAAUACAACGAAACGAAAAGUC